rnacentral:rRNA from 1 species
GACGUAGGGGGCGAGCGUUGCUCGGAAUCACUGGGCGUAAAGCGCACGUAGGCGGCUUUCUAAGUCAGGGGUGAAAUCCCGGAGCUCAACUCCGGAACUGCCUUUGAUACUGGGAGGCUCGAGUCCGGGAGAGGUGAGUGGAACUGCGAGUGUAGAGGUGAAAUUCGUAGAUAUUCGCAAGAACACCAGUGGCGAAGGCGGCUCACUGGCCCGGUACUGACGCUGAGGUGCGAAAGCGUGGGGAGCAAACAGG